rnacentral:hammerhead_ribozyme from 1 species
ACCCUACUGAUGAAUCCCUAAUAGGAUGAAAUGUGCAUCCAGGAU